UACGGGGGGGGCAAGCGUUGUUCGGAAUUAUUGGGCGUAAAGGGCGCGUAGGCGGCAUCGCAAGUGGAAGGUGAAAUCCCUCGGCUUAACCGAGGAACUGCCCUCCAACUGCGUUGCUUGAGGCCGGGAGAGGUGAGUGGAAUUCCCAGUGUAGCGGUGAAAUGCGUAGAUAAUUGGGAGGAACACCAGUGGCGAAGGGCGGCUCACUGGACCGGUUCUAACGCUG
rnacentral:rRNA from 1 species